AGAGUGAACGCUGGCGGCAGGCCUAACACAUGCAAGUCGAACGGCAGCACAGGAGAGCUUGCUCUCUGGGUGGCGAGUGGCGGACGGGUGAGGAAUACGUCGGAAUCUGCCUAUUUGUGGGGGAUAACGUAGGGAAACUUACGCUAAUACCGCAUACGACCUACGGGUGAAAGCGGAGGACCUUCGGGCUUCGCGCAGAUAGAUGAGCCGACGUCGGAUUAGCUAGUUGGCGGGUAAAGGCCCACCAAGGCGACGAUCCGUAGCUGGUCUGAGAGGAUGAUCAGCCACACUGGAACUGAGACACGGUCCAGACUCCUACGGGAGGCAGCAGUGGGGAAUAUUGGACAAUGGGCGCAAGCCUGAUCCAGCCAUGCCGCGUGUGUGAAGAAGGCCUUGGUUGUAAAGCACUUUUGUCCGGAAAGAAAAGCACUGGUUAAUACCCUGGUGUCAUGACGGUACCGGAAGAAUAAGCACCGGCUAACUUCG
rnacentral:rRNA from 1 species